rnacentral:tRNA from 3 species
CAAACUGUAGCUUAAACAAAGCAUCUCGCUUACACCGAGAAAAUGCCUGAUAAAUCCGGGCCAUUUUGA